rnacentral:rRNA from 1 species
CCCCUUUCGGGGGGUGAGUAAAGUGGCAAACGGCGUGUAGUAAUACAUGGGUAACCUGCCCUUAAGACCGCGAUAACAUCUUGAAGGAUGCUAUAGCGGAUAAGACUACGUGGUUGCGGCCAGUAGUAAAGAUGGCUCUAUAUAUAAGCUGUUGCUUAAGGAUGGGCUCAUGCGUCAUUAGCUUGUUGGUGGGGUAACGGCCUACCAAGGCUGCGAUGGCUAGCCGGCCUGAGAGGGUGAUCGGCCACACUGGGAUUGAGAUACGGCCCAGACUCCUACGGGAGGCAGCAGUGGGGAAUUUUGCGCAAUGGGGGAAACCCUGACGCAGCAACGCCGCGUGAAGGAUGAAGCUUCUUGGAGUGUAAACUUCUGUCAGGUGGGAAGAAAUGUCAGUGGGUUAAUACCCUGCUGACUUGACGGUACCAUCAGAGGAAGCCCCGGCUAACUCCGUGCCAGCAGCCGCGGUAACACGGGGGGGGCAAGCGUUGUUCGGAAUUACUGGGCGUAAAGAGCGCGUAGGCGGCCAGGUAAGUUAGGCGUGCAAUCCUGUGGCUUAACCACAGAACUGCGCUUAAUACUGCUUGGCUUGAGUACGGGAGAGGAAAGUGGAAUUCCAAGUGUAGCGGUGAAAUGCGUAGAUAUUUGGAGGAACACCAGUGGCGAAGGCGGCUUUCUGGACCGAUACUGACGCUGUGGCGCGAAAGCUAGGUGAGCGAACGGGAUUAGAUACCCCGGUAGUCCUAGCCGUAAACGAUGGACACUAGGU